AUUGAACGCUGGCGGCAGGCCUAACACAUGCAAGUCGAACGAGUGGCGGACGGGUGAGUAAUGUCUGGGAAACUGCCUGAUGGAGGGGGAUAACUACUGGAAACGGUAGCUAAUACCGCAUACCAUCGGAUGUGCCCAGCUGGGUGUAGCUAGUAGGUGGUGUACAGGCGCACCAAGGCGACGAUCCCUAGCUGGUCUGAGAGGAUGAAAAGACACACUGGAACUGAGACACGGUCCAGACUCCUACGGGAGGACGCAGUGGGGAAUAUUGCACAAUGGGCGCAAGCCUGAUGCAGCAAUGCCGCGUGUAUGAAGAAGGCCUUCGGGUUGUAAGGUACGUUCAGCGGUGAGGCGUUACCCGCAGAAGAAGCACCGGCUAACUCCGUGCCAGCAGCCGCGGUAAUUC
rnacentral:rRNA from 1 species